CUAAUACAUGCAAGUCGAGCGCGGGAAGCAGGCAGAUCCUCUUCGGAGGUGACGCCUGUGGAACGAGCGGCGGACGGGUGAGUAACACGUGGGCAACCUGCCUGUAAGACUGGGAUAACCCCGGGAAACCGGGGCUAAUACCGGAUAAUACUUUUCGUUGCAUAACGAGAAGUUGAAAGGCGGCUUUUAGCUGUCACUUACAGAUGGGCCCGCGGCGCAUUAGCUAGUUGGUAAGGUAACGGCUUACCAAGGCGACGAUGCGUAGCCGACCUGAGAGGGUGAUCGGCCACACUGGGACUGAGACACGGCCCAGACUCCUACGGGAGGCAGCAGUAGGGAAUCUUCCGCAAUGGACGAAAGUCUGACGGAGCAACGCCGCGUGAGUGAUGAAGGUUUUCGGAUCGUAAAACUCUGUUGUCAGGGAAGAACAAGUGCCGUUCAAAUAGGGCGGCACCUUGACGGUACCUGACCAGAAAGCCCCGGCUAACUACGUGCCAGCAGCCGCGGUAAUACGUAGGGGGCAAGCGUUGUCCGGAAUUAUUGGGCGUAAAGCGCGCGCAGGCGGUCCUUUAAGUCUGAUGUGAAAGCCCACGGCUUAACCGUGGAGGGCCAUUGGAAACUGGAGGACUUGAGUACAGAAGAGGAGAGUGGAAUUCCACGUGUAGCGGUGAAAUGCGUAGAGAUGUGGAGGAACACCAGUGGCGAAGGCGACUCUCUGGUCUGUAACUGACGCUGAGGUGCGAAAGCGUGGGGAGCGAACAGGAUUAGAUACCCUGGUAGUCCACGCCGUAAACGAUGAGUGCUAGGUGUUAGGGGGGUUUCCGCCCCUUAGUGCUGAAGUUAACGCAUUAAGCACUCCGCCUGGGGAGUACGGCCGCAAGGCUGAAACUCAAAAGAAUUGACGGGGGCCCGCACAAGCGGUGGAGCAUGUGGUUUAAUUCGAAGCAACGCGAAGAACCUUACCAGGUCUUGACAUCCUCUGCCAAUCCUAGAGAUAGGAUGUUCCCUUCGGGGACAGAGUGACA
rnacentral:rRNA from 1 species